AUGACUAUCAACCUACAUAUAUCCCAAGGGCAAUAUAGAUAUAUGGGUACUAAAAGAAGAGAUUUUGAAAAACCAGUGCAAUUUCAGAAUUAUAAGAAUGAUGGCGCUAUAUUAAACCUAGCAGCUCAUGAUCUAAUAGAUUGGCCGAAUAUAAUCAGCAUAUGGAAAGGUUUAAUAGUGCAAAAAUAUAUACAAAAUCAGUAUAAUAUAGGCAGUAAGGUAGAAGAUAUGUUAACAUAUCUUGAAAUAUUUUUAGGAGAAUCUGUAAAAGUUCUAUGGGAACAAUGGGUAGAGUCAUACCCUAGUCAAUAUGAAGAAUUAAAAAGGGCAGGAAGUAACCCUAAUAACUUUGCGAAUGUUAUCUCAAAUAUGAUCAUAGCAGAAGAUCCAGAAUUAGGACAUACCUCAUUACAAAAUGAAAGGUUAAGAGAAAUAGAAAAACUAACAUUAACAAGCUGGAAAGGUAUAAAAGAAUUUUCCCAGCAUUAUUUGUAUAAUGCUACUACUGCUAAACAAGGUUUUAAUGUAGGUGUAGUAGAAAGAUAUUUUAAUAAGUUGCCUGAUCCUCUAGGUUCCAUAAUAUUUGAGGAGUAUAAAAAAGAAACAGGAGGAAAUGUGGUAAAUAUAUCCCAAGCCAUAACAUUUGUUUUCAAACAAUUAAGAAAGGUGUGUACUAGCAUUCAAGCCCAAAGAUCUAUGAAGAAAUCAGAUUACAAUUUUUGCAAUAACAUUGUCCAAAUACCACUAACAUAUGGAGAAGAAAGAUAUAUUGUUCGAUUACCAUUCAAAGAAGUGUUAGGAAUAAGGAUCCCAGUUAGGAUUGUUCUUAAGCCAAAUAUUUCAUAUAAAAUACUGGCACUAUUAGAUACUGGUUGCACUAAGAACAUCAUACAUGAUUAA
rnacentral:rRNA from 1 species